GUGGGUAUAGCUCAGUGAUAGAGAAUAUACUUAGAAUGCACAAGGUCCUGGGUUCAAUCCCUAGUGCCUCCA
rnacentral:tRNA from 1 species